UCCUUUGUACAAGAUGUUCUAUUGUGUAAAUACCAUCAAAGAGCAUAUUGUACAAAGGGUGU
rnacentral:pre_miRNA from 1 species